rnacentral:rRNA from 1 species
UACAGAGGUCCCAAGCGUUGUUCGGAUUCACUGGGCGUAAAGGGUGCGUAGGUGGUCAGGUAAGUCGGAUGUGAAAUCUCCGAGCUCAACUCGGAAACUGCAUUGGAAACUACCUGGCUCGAGGGUUGGAGGGGGGACUGGAAUGCUUGGUGUAGCAGUGAAAUGCGUAGAUAUCAAGCGGAACACCAGUGGCGAAGGCGGCAUCCUGGACCGGUAUUGACGCUGAGGCGCGAAAGCCAGGGGAGCAAACGGG